ACUACGGGUGGCAGCAGUGAGGAAUAUUGGUCAAUGGGCGCGAGCCUGAACCAGCCAAGUCGCGUGAGGGAUGAAGGUACUAUGGAUCGUAAACCUCUUUUAUCAGGGAAUAAAGUGUGGGACGUGUCCUAUUUUGUAUGUACCUUAAGAAAAAGGAUCGGCUAACUCCGUGCCAGCAGCCGCGGUAAUACGGAGGAUCCGAGCGUUAUCCGGAUUUAGUGGGUUUAAAGGGUGCGUAGGCGGCCUUGUAAGGACGCGGUCAAAGGCGGUGGCUCAACCACAGAACUGCCGUUGAACCUGGGGGUCUUGAGUUGGUGUGAGGCAGGCGGAAUGCGCGGUGGAGCGGUGAAAGGCUUAGAUAUCACGCAGAACCCCGAUUGCGAAGGCAGCAUGCC
rnacentral:rRNA from 1 species